AUGGAAGUGGCGUUAGCUAGCGCUGCCUUAAGCGUUAGCUUGAAAUUGGCGGCAUCACCUGUCUUGAAGAAGCUCCUUGCUGAUGCUUCAACCUACCUCGAUGUGGACAUGGCCCAUGAGCUCCACGAACUGGAGACAACUAUCUUGCCACAGUUCGAGUUGUUGAUUGAAGCAGCAGACAAGGGAAACCACAAGCCCAAGUUGGACAAAUGGCUUCAUGAACUCAAAGAAGGCUUCUACCUGGCUGAAGACUUGCUGGACGAGCAUGAGUACAACCUCCUCAAGCGCAAAGCAAAGGGGAAAGAUUCCAUGCCGGCCAAUGCGUCCACCGUCAAUAAAGCUUUUAUGAAGCCUCUGCGUUCUGUAACAAACAGGCUGUCCAAUCUGAGCUCUGAGAACAGAAAGCUAAUUUGCCAUAUAAAGGACUUCCAUCAAUUGCUAUCCUUACCAGCUGGUUCUGGUUAUAAUGGAGACUGCCCCGCCAUAACAUCAAUUGUUGUUCCUGAGACCACAUCACUACCACCUCUGAAAGUAAUUGGUCAUGACGAGGAUCGUGAUCAUAUAAUAGAUCGUCUUACCAACACAACUGCUAUUACUGAGUCUAGUACAGCCAUGUACUCAGGUUUGGCCACUGUUGGAGUUUGA
rnacentral:rRNA from 1 species